AUGCCCGGCUGCCCCUCUGCCUCAGGGCUGACUGCCUCCAACACUUCAGUGACUUCAUUUACAAGCAAUACAAACUACUGCUGUCCAGGCUUUCUCUGUGCUUCUUGCAUUCUCCUAGAAGAAAACCACUUACGCCUAGGAGUUUGGAAUCUGGCAAGGCACUUAGAGGCUCCCAGAAAAUCCCCAAGAGAAGGAAGGCCUGCAGAUGGGGAAAGAUACAAGACAGAUGCACACCUUGUUACCUUAGGAAAAACACUUCAACUUCAAGAAUCUUUGGUCAUCAUCUGUAAGAUGAGGUCAACUACUUCUAAACCACAAGGUGGUUCAGAAAAUUCAAAGAUGUCAGGUGAGUAA
rnacentral:lncRNA from 1 species